rnacentral:rRNA from 1 species
CCUACGGGGGGCAGCAGUGGGGAAUAUUGGGCAAUGGGCGAAAGCCUGACCCAGCGACGCCGCGUGGGUGAUGAAGGCCUUCGGGUUGUAAAGCCCUGUCAUGCGGAAAGAACAGUCUUACGGUUAAUACCCGUGAGAUUUGACGGUACCGCAGGAGGAAGCACCGGCUAACUCCGUGCCAGCAGCCGCGGUAAUACGGAGGGUGCAAGCGUGGUUAGGAAUUAUUUGGCGUAAAGGGAAAGUAAGCGGUGAAAUACUUCGGCUCAACUGAAGAACUGCAUCUGAAACUUCAUAACUAGAGUACAGAAGAGGGAAAUGGAAUUCCCGGUGUAGAGGUGAAAUUCGUAGAUAUCGGGAGGAACACCAGUGGCGAAGGCGAUUUCCUGGUCUGAUACUGACGCUGAGGCGUGAAAGUGUGGGGAGCAAACAGGAUUAGAUACCCGGGUAGUC